rnacentral:rRNA from 1 species
AGAGUUUGUAUCCUGGCUCAGAACGAACGCUGGCGGCAGGCUUAACACAUGCAAGUCGAGCGCACCUUUUAGGUGAGCGGCAGACGGGUGAGUAAUGCGUGGGAACCUACCUUACUACGGAAUAACACAGAGAAAUUUGUGCUAAUACCGUAUACGUCCGAGAGGAGAAAGAUUUAUCGGUGAAGGAUGGGCCCAUGUUGGAUUAGCUAGUUGGUAGGGUAACGGCCUACCAAGGCGACGAUCCAUAGCUGGUCUGAGAGGAUGAUCAGCCACACUGGGACUGAGACACGGCCCAGACUCCUACGGGAGGCAGCAGUGGGGAAUAUUGGACAAUGGGCGCAAGCCUGAUCCAGCCAUGCCGCGUGAGUGAUGAAGGCCUUAGGGUUGUAAAGCUCUUUCACCGGUGAAGAUAAUGACGGUAACCGGAGAAGAAGCCCCGGCUAACUUCCGUG